UUCAAUCUAAAAGUGUGCGUUCCUUUCCAGCCGCCAACACCCUUGCUCCCUUUUCCCUUUUCCUUCUUUUACGACGCGUUCUGUCUUCACGUGAAAGGAGCAAAUCAAUCGAAUCACUAGCUAUAUAACCCGAUGCCUUUUCCCUAUUAAGGGUGCAUUUUAAUCUAUUGAAUGCAAGAAAUCGAGGAUUCAGAAUGAAAUUACUUUGUCCUUGGCUACAGAAGAUCAUCUGGUGGCAACAUUUAGUCCCCAGACCAAAUACUUAGAACUUAGUUUUGUUUUGAUGUAGAACCCUUCAGAAUUUUAUAGAUUAUUGUUAAAUGAUCGAUUGUAUAUUUUAGAAUUAAUUUUUGAAACUAUUUAGAUGACAAUUUGUAUAAUAAAGUGAUAUUCAAAAUUUAUUACUAUGUAUUUCUAUGGUU